GAUGAACGCUGGCGGCGUGCCUAACACAUGCAAGUCGAACGGAGUCCAGCCUUUAAGACCUUCGGGUCAAAGAGGGGAAGACUGAGUGGCGGACGGGUGAGUAACACGUGGGCAACCUGGCUCAGAUAGGGGGAUAACAGAGAGAAAUUUCUGCUAAUACCGCAUAAGCACACACUGCCGCAUGGCAGAGGGUGAAAAGAGAAUCGCUAUGAGAUGGAAACGCGUCUGAUUAGCCAGUUGGCAGGGUAAGAGCCUACCAAAGCGACGAUCAGUAGCCGAUCUGAGAGGAUGAACGGCUAAAUUGGGACUGAGACACGGCCCACACUCCUACGGGAGGCAGCAGUGGGGGAUAUUGCACAAUGGGGGGAACCCUGAUGCAGCGACGCCGCGUGAGUGAAGAAGUAUUUAGGUAUGUAAAGCUCUAUCAGCAGGGAAGAUAAUGACAUUACCUGAAUCAGAAGCCCCGGCUAACUACGUG
rnacentral:rRNA from 1 species